UACGAAUUACACCUUCCUAAAAUGGGCUAGCGAUAUGUGAAUUAAGGGAGGAAUCAAUAGAGGCAACGACUUUAUGCUACGACGACCGAACUUGAAGAAAGUUGAGAAGAUCAAAACCAGUUGGCGUGACAAAGAAAAACCAAAAAUGAAUCCUCAAAUCUGGCACAAAGUUGCUGCUAUUUCUGGUGUAGCUGCUCUUGGGUUAGGAACUUAUGGAGCUCAUGUCUUCAAGCCCAAAAAUCCCACUUACAAAGAGGUGUGGAAUACUGCAUCACUGUACCAUUUGGUUCACACUGCUGCCCUUGUUUCUGCUCCUAUCACUAAACAUCCAAACAUUUUUGGAGGACUGCUAACUGGUGGAAUUAUCGCUUUCUCUGGAACGUGCUAUGCAGUUGCACUUCUCGAAGACAGGAAAUACUCAACCUUAGCUCCCUUCGGUGGCUUUGCGUUUAUUGCUGCUUGGGCAAGUUUAUUGUUUUAGGAGAAUGAAUGUCCAGACUUACCACAUCGAACUUGAAGUUACUAAACUUGAUUGAUACUGCAGAUUUAAUGAGCGCGUUGUGAAUCAGACUUGCGCGUGACACUUCCCUGUUUCACUUUCAAUCAACAGGAAUGAAACUGGUGGAAAUUUCCUGCUUUGAUAUUGAUUUAUAAUGGUGCAUGAGCCUGAGUUUUAUCUGUAUAGCAAGCGGAGUCACCCGGGUCAAUUAAGCCGAGACACUUGAGCGGAUAUUAUUGGAUUGAUGAGGUUAUGAUUUGGAUCGGGUUCCACCACAGAACAAUUGAUUAAUGAUCAUUAUUUAUAUAAUGAUCGACGCUUGGAUUAUGGAUUUGUCCCUCCGGAGUCAGGUAAUUACCCAUGUUACUUUGGGACUUGUGAGCGUAGCUGUGAGAUUUGUUGAGAAAAGGAUUCCGAGCUACUUUUGUUUAGAUUCAUGCUAUGAAUUGAACUAAGUAUUGUUGCCUGGUAUUAGUUUGACCCGUGGAUUGAGAUAACUAUGUAUUUUAUUUGAUUCUCGAAAGCAUGCCUAAAUUCCGUAUGAAUUGUAUUUUGCGCUUAA